CGGGAGCCUCGGGGGGUUGGAGGCGGCCGCAGGUGGGCGGCAGCGGGGCGAGUGCCGCAGUGCGGGCAACCGGCGGCGGCCUCGCCCCAGCCGCCUUCCUCUCGGCCUUCUCGUCGGACCGACCUGUGGCGGCAGGCCUGGCGGGCUGCCGGGGCGGGGUCGGGCUGCGUGGGGGCACCUGAGCCGGCCUCCACCCUCCGCCUCUUCCAGGAAGGCGCGGCCGCGGGUUCCGCCGCCGGUCUCUUCCGGCUCCGGAGGCACGGGGGUGCAUUUCCCAAUUAACUGGGAACCGCAGCCCUGCGCGAGAAAGGGAAGGCAGACUUCUCUGAGCUGCCAUCAGAUGCUGCGUUUCCUUGCAUUUUUCUGGUGUCUUCCUUUCUAGCGGUUGUCAUCAGUAUUUGGUGACGUCUCCUCCCUUAUGUGUUUCAGAAUACAAAAGUUGGAGAUGGGGUAAUUGUUUUUGUAGGAUUCUUUCUAAAGGCAAAUUCAGCGUACCUCUGAGUAGUUUGUCAAGGUUCUCCAUUUUAAGGAUUUGGAAACUAAGAUGAUUUUAUUCAUUUGACAGAGAGAGACACAGCGAGAGAGGGAACACAAGCAGGGGGAGUGGGAGAGGGAGAAGCAGGCUCCCCGCAGAUCAGGGAGCCCGAUGCGGGGCUCGAUCCCAGGACCCUGGGACCAUGACCUGAGCCGAAGGCAGACACUUAACUGACUGAGCCACCCAGGCGCCCCUCAGCAACUAUUUCUUGAGCGCUCAUGUGUCAGGCACUGUUCUCAGCUCCUGGGGAUAUUGUGUGAACAAGACAAACUGAAAUCCCUGCCCUCGUGGAGCUUCUAUUCUACAGGGCUAGCUUUUAUACAACCGCAUAGCCACCUAGCUCCUGAUCCUUGUCUUCCCGGAGUAGCAGCGUGUAAUAAACACUGAAUGACUAAUAGAACAUUUUGGAAAUUCCUGCUCUGGCAGCUGCGCUGAAUUGAAACUCAUAACUCUUCAUGUUGUAUCAGCACCAUCCUGAGGCCUUUUAUUUACUGUCAAUACUGCAACACCAAAACAUCUAUUGUUGCUUCUAACUUUAUUCCCAUACCCUGUAAGUGGUACUUUCCUUAGGUCAAGAGAAUAACAGUGAUGCUUUAUUAAAUAAAGUCUAAUUUUCCCAUACUGGGUAAGCAUGGCCAAGAUUUGUUUUGGACUCAGAGCUGAUCUUUUCGUAGGAAUCUGAAAGUUUCCAUAAGUUACUUGUCUUUGUGCGAGCUAGACAUCAUUGGGUUUACACAAAAUGGCUGAAGAGGCCAGAUACCUCAUCCUUGGAGGGUUUAUCAAAUAGGCCCUUUAUUCUCAUCCUUGGUGUGUUAAUCUCAGCCUCCCUACCUCUAGACUUGUUGGCUUUAUUAUUACAGAAUACCUGUUCUCAGCCUCUUGAUACACCCAUUGGAUUCUAGGCUACUUGGCUUCUAGAGUCUGCAAUAUUUAUAUUCUGACUAGUAACAUGCCCGCCCCUUGCCUUUCACAGUCCUCAUUUCACUGGGUUUGCUUAUGGGAUGUAAAGAAAGAUCUCCUCUAUCCUAAGAUUUACUAACUUGCUCAAGUUUUAGAGUGAAAUACUAGGAGUUUUAUGAAUUUGCAUUUUGAAGAGAGGGUCGAUGGCAGAAAUAAUUUAGAGAUUUCAGGUUUCUUCGUUUUAGUCUGUGCCAGGGGUUUGUUUGCUAGCGAUUGAUUGAUUGAUUGAUACGAUUUUAUUUAUUUGAGAGAGAAGCAGACUCCCGCUGAGCAGAGAAACUGACACGGGGCUCAAUCCCAGGACCCUGAGAUAAUGACCUGAGCCGAAGGCAGACACUUAACUGACUGAGCCACCCAGGGGCCCCUAUUUAUUUAUUUUUUAAAGUUUUAUUUAUUUAAGUAAUCUCUACACCCAACAUGGGGCUCAAAGCCACGACCUCAAGAUCAAGAGUUUCAUGCUCCUCCGACUGAGCCAGCCAAGUGCCCCUCAUUUGCUUUUUAAAUUCUGGAGAAAUGCCAUUGAUUUCUAAUUCUUGCCGAUUUGGCAGAUGCCCCUGUUUUUUUUGUUGUUGUUGUUUAAGAUUUCAUUUAUUCAUUUGAGACACACAGAUGCAGAGAGAGAGAGAGCAUGAGCAGGGAGAGAGGCAGAGGGAGAGGAAGAAGCAGACUCCCCCUGAGUCAGGAGCCCAAUGUGGGGCUCGAUCCCAGGACCCUGGAAUCAUGACCUGAGCUGAAGGCAGACGCUUAACCAUCUGAGCCACCCAGGCGACCCCAAAUGCCUCUUGUUUUAAGGGCCACCUGUAGGAAGGCAUCUUGAUUGUUAGGAGAAUCCUGUUUCAUCACUGUGCCUCUGUUAGCAGAAUGUAUGGACUUUGGUUCGUAGAGCAGUACUUUGAAAAAGAAUUUGUUGAUGUUUGGGAUUCAGCAUUUUGUCCAAUAAUAUGUAGUAUGCUGAGUCAGUGGAGAAUGGGGAAACGUUUUAUAUUUAAUAAUUUUCUACACGGGUGCAAAAGAUUUAUGAUGUUGAUCAUUUAUUAAUCUGUUUUC